rnacentral:lncRNA from 1 species
UACAUGGUCUCUAGCCAUAUGGGUCCAUGCAGUGUAGAUUGGCUGCAGUAGGUUCACUGUAAGAGUAGGGUAUGCACCUAUAAGGAAUCUAUCGACCUUGAUAGAUAAGAAGAGAUCCUAUGAGAUUUAUAAGACUUAGUUCGUAAGACUUCGGCCGGGGCAGAUUGUAUAGUGGAGAAAGAGUUUUCCACUCUCGAGCUUAAGUCGAAUAAAUUUUGACAUAUGACAGACGAUGGGGUUUGACGAGUUGUCCAUGACCUCCAUCCUGUAGGGAUCCAUGAUAGUAAGACUAUAUCAUACGAUAACUGCACCUAGAGGU